UCUCGGGCUCCACAUCCAUCUAGUUCCAGCACGGGCUCCUCUUCGGCGAUCCAGAUCAAACGAUGGUGGGUGGGAUCCACGAUUGAUUCUCCUCCUCGUAGGCAGCACACAGCCGCCGGAGAAGCCCGUGGUGAACGAUGUCACGCCGACCUCCUCGUGGCCAUCCCCAACCUCUCAUAGGGUUGCAAGUCGUUCAUUCAGGAAGACCUCCUCAACAAUUACACUGAGCAGAUGGUCAACUACUGCAGAAUGGCUAUGGACAGUUGUCACGAAGAUGCAUUGGCUACUGCCUACUGCGGCCUUGUUUUGAAGGAGAAGGAUCAACAAAUAUCAGAAUUAGAGACCAAACUAUACUCUCUAGCGUCAGAGCUGCAUACUUCAGGGGAGAAGGACACGUCGAAUAAGAUAAUGCUCGCCAAGAAAUUACAAGAAGGGAGAUACAGAUGUAUUAUAUACUUAAUACUUUUUUGGUUCGUCAUGAUCAUAUAUGUUGCUAGAAUUUUAAUCCCCACUUUGUAAGACUAGAUGUCAGCUAGAGAAUUUUUUUGUGGGCCUGAGAUCAUUCAUUGUUGAACUAAAUGAACGUAUUGGAUCUUGGCGGUUUUCUUGCUCUUACUGAUUCAUAAUGCGCCGAUGGUCCAAGA